GACGAACGCUGGCGGCGUGCCUAACACAUGCAAGUCGAACGGAAAGGCCCUGCUCUUGCGGGGUGCUCGAGUGGCGAACGGGUGAGUAACACGUGAGUAACCCGCCCCUGACUUUGGGAUAACUUCAGGAAACUGGGGCUAAUAUCGGAUAGGAGCUCCUGCUGCACGGUGGGGGUUGGAAAGUUUCGGUGGUUAGGGAUGGACUCGCGGCUUAUCAGCUUGUUGGUGGGGUAGUGGCUUACCAAGGCUUUGACGGGUAGCCGGCCUGAGAGGGUGACCGGCCACAUUGGGACUGAGAUGCGGCCCAGACUCCUACGGGAGGGAGCAGUGGGGAAUAUUGCACAAUGGGCGGAAGCCUAGUGCAGCAACGCCGCGUGCGGGAUGACGGCCUUCGGGUUGUAGACCGCUUUCGCCUGUGACGGAGCGUGAGUGACGGUAAUGGGUAAAGAAGCACCGGCUAACUACGUG
rnacentral:rRNA from 1 species